rnacentral:rRNA from 1 species
GACGAACGCUGGCGGCGUGCCUAAUACAUGCAAGUCGAACGCACAGUUUAUACCGUAGCUUGCUACACCAUAGACUGUGAGUUGCGAACGGGUGAGUAACGCGUAGGUAACCUGCCUGGUAGCGGGGGAUAACUAUUGGAAACGAUAGCUAAUACCGCAUAAUAUUAAUUAUUGCAUGAUAAUUAAUUGAAAGGUGCAAUUGCACCACUACCAGAUGGACCUGCGUUGUAUUAGCUAGUAGGUGAGGUAACGGCUCACCUAGGCGACGAUACAUAGCCGACCUGGGAGGGGGAUAGGCCACACUGGGACGGAGACACGGCCCAGACUCCUACGGGAGGCAGCAGUAGGGAAUCUUCGGCAAUGGACGAAAGUCUGACCGAGCAACGCCGCGUGAGUGAAGAAGGGUCUCGGAUCGUAAAGCUCUGUUGUAAGAGAAGAACGGGUGUGAGAGUGGAAAGUUCACACUGUGACGGUAGCUGACCAGAAAGGGACGGCUAACUACGUG